rnacentral:lncRNA from 1 species
AAAUCAACCAGUCCCCUGGAGAUGGCAGUAGCAGGCAAGGAUGGAGAUCUUUUGCCAACCAGCCGCAGCCAGAACUGCCGGCUCCUGCUUCGGAUCUGAGUUUGUGCAGACAGGCAGCCAUGAUGGAUCCUUGUGGCUGCAGAGGGCUGAUUUUGCUGAUGGUUGUUGCAGCGAAAUUCCGUCUUCUCCCUGUCUGAAGUUUAGUUCUCAAGUGCUGCCUUAAGUCCUUUCUGAACAAAGUCUUGUUUCCAUGGCACUAGAGCUACCUGGAAGUCACAAAAUGGAAGCACCUGGAUCCCGGAGUCAUCACUUGCAAGACAAUGGUCCAGGAGAGCUGCCCAAACAAGAAUGUCUGCACAGCACUUUGAAGGAGGAAGAAAGAAGCCUUAUUGCGUGAAGCCCCUGAGGUUACCCGCUCUCACGAAUGCAUUUGCCUUUGCAGUUUUACAGCUCCCUUUAAUAGAGACCUACCAAGACUAUGUAAAGCUGUUCUGUUUAGCCCCAGUCUUGACAGUUCUGCUAUCUCCCAUCAUUCCUACCUCUGGGUCUCAAAGUAGGUGCCGCCCUUUGACUCACCAAGCUCUUCAGCUUGUUCUCUACUUUCCUGGACAUCCUUCCCAGGAGAAGGAAGGCAACCCUGACCCCAUUUCUUUGUGGAAGAAUCUUAAUCUCAGUGUUUGCUAAUCCACUCUUGGGCUGCAAAGGACUCCUCAGAAUUCUUCCCAGAAAGCUUAGGACUCAUAUAGAAAUAAAACAUCCAAUAGGUUGUUGUGACAUUUCUGGGAAUUAAGUCAGUAUGCAUUAAGUGUGAUCCUAUGCUACCCACUUAUUGUUCUUUAUUUUACAGUAAUUAAUUGAGUGCAUGGUCAUUGUUUUUCAUCACUACCAG